AUGAACGCUAGCGGCGUGCUUAACACAUGCAAGUCGAACGAUGAAGCCCAGCUUGCUGGGUGGAUUAGUGGCGAACGGGUGAGUAACACGUGAGUAACCUGCCCUUAACUCUGGGAUAAGCCUGGGAAACUGGGUCUAAUACCGGAUAGGAGCGUCCACCGCAUGGUGGGUGUUGGAAAGAUUUAUCGGUUUUGGAUGGACUCGCGGCCUAUCAGCUUGUUGGUGAGGUAAUGGCUCACCAAGGCGACGACGGGUAGCCGGCCUGAGAGGGUGACCGGCCACACUGGGACUGAGACACGGCCCAGACUCCUACGGGAGGCAGCAGUGGGGAAUAUUGCACAAUGGGCGCAAGCCUGAUGCAGCGACGCCGCGUGAGGGAUGACGGCCUUCGGGUUGUAAACCUCUUUCAGUAGGGAAGAAGCGAAAGUGACGGUACCUGCAGAAGAAGCACCGGCUAACUACGUG
rnacentral:rRNA from 1 species